GACGUAGGGCGCGAGCGUUGUCCGGAUUUAUUGGGCGUAAAGAGCUCGUAGGCGGCUUGUCGCGUCGUCUGUGAAAUCCCGCGGCUCAACCGCGGGUCUGCAGUCGAUACGGGCAGGCGUAGAGUUCGGUAGGGGAGACGUGGAAUUCCUGGUGUAGCGGUGAAAUGCGCAGAUAUCGAGGAGGAACACCGGUGGCGGAAGGCGGGUCUCUGGGC
rnacentral:rRNA from 1 species